rnacentral:lncRNA from 1 species
GACUAAUGCCCGUUUUCACCAACAACCUCUUACCGUUUCCCUAUCUAAAUGCUACUUUUAGUAAGAAUCCCUCCCAAUUUGACACCUACCUAAAUUCAUUUUCACCACACUUGUACAUGGAUCCCUUAAGUUAGUGACAGAUUACUAGUUCUACAAACGAUAAUACAAAGUCGAUAUUUUAUCGAUAAAAUGAUUUUUCUGUACUUCUUAAGAAAUAAACGUCUAUCGAGUAUAUAUUACUAAAGCCUGUGAGUUUUUUUUCUUGUGAUGUUAUUUUAAUUUAACUUAAACUACAUUACGCUAUGUUUUAUGCAAUAAAACAGUAAAGAGGUUUUCUAUAGGUGAAUUUUUACCUAUGUCAUUCGCGCGUUUGUCAAAUUGACUGAUGUGUAUGUGUACAUAGAGUGAGGUAGAUUUUGGGUUUAUUAUUGUUGAAUAGAUAAGUUUAUUUUGGCAGAGAAGAGAAAACGAGGAUAAACCUUUCUUGCAGAAGAAAAAGACAAGCUAGUGAAAUUGCUGACGUCUCAUAGAGACACAAUAUUAAACAAAAAACGGAUGGGACCACGAACGAAGCCAAAAACAAAGCUUGGAUCCAGUCACAAAUAGUUUUAAUGCGACAGGAACCUUUUACAGUUUCAGGUGGUGCGAGAAAUUGGAAAGACGUGUAAAAACAUGCUGCGCCCAGCCCCCUCAAAUUGAAUUGGUGCAGGAGGAUGAUGAUAAUGUUUGGUACAUCAUAUGAGGACUAAAAUUAAAAUAUUUGUUUACUA